rnacentral:siRNA from 1 species
CAGUUAAGAGUGUUUGGAUGGAA